GAAAGCCCACACUCCAGAAGCUCAUUAAAAGGGCCAAGUUACAGUACAGGUUUAUUUCUGUCACAGCGUUUCUGAAAACAGUGACAAGGAUUAAUAUGUUUCUUUAGUACUGGAAAAAGCCUGACACAGUCCCUUGUGAAUUUGAUCAUCUGUUUCAUCGCCUGUAUAAGAUUCAAUCUCCUAUUAUAUCCUGAAGUUCCAGCUGUAAACUAAUGCUGGAAGCUGUUCCUUUGGGUGGAAAUUAUAACAUCAGAGAGAAGAUUGGCCCACGUGAAUUUCCAAGGUGUUUUACGGUUUUGGGUGUUACAUUUAGGUAUUUAAUGCUCCAGACCUCACUCAAAGUUGGCAGCGUUUUGUGUCACCCAGUAUAUACACCAGAGAAGUACACCUAUAUGUGGAAUUUAUUGCCUACAGAACCGAAGAAAAAUAAUAGGUGAUGUGCUUCCUACUUUGUGUGUUUAUCGCAUUCACCAACAUGAUCAGUGACCAAACUUCAAAUUCUGCUGAAGUGAAUGACGUUGAAAUUUUCUUGACCUUCCUCAUCCUAUACAUUCAUAUUCCAAGGGGCUCUGGACGCGCAGGCUCAGUGGCCAUGGCUCACGGGCCCAACCGCUCCGCGGCAUGUGGGAUCUUCCCGGACCGGGGUACGA